GAACUAGCCAACAGCUGCGGCAGGAAAUGAGCCCCCAGGCAGUGAAAAGGGGCUAACACACUUCCACACAGAAGAGCGAGACCAGAGCGACGGCGCAUGCGCGCGUACGCUGCAGCCAACAAAGAUGUCACUAAAGCCCGUCAGCCCGCCUGCCACAGCAUCGCCACCACCCCCCUGGAGCCAGAGGGAACAUUUGCCUUGUGGCUCCAAUUCCCAGGAAUGUCUAACCUGCGCCAGCUGUUGAGAACAUGGUACCUGUGCCAACAAUGUGCCGACUCUGCCCACCACAUCGCUCGCAAUUCCGUCUCCAUCUGGGUCCAAUAUUAGAUUUUUGAGCGUGUGUGUGUUUGUCAGCAGCUCUUCUGUGGCUUUAAUGCUUCCCACAUCUGUAUUUGAAAUUUCAUCAAUGGGUCCAUGAAUGCCUUUAUUGUGUGUAGCAUCCUCUGUGUCAGUGUGCUGAUGUGUUUGUGAUGUGUUGGGUGUGUGUGUGUGUGGCAGCUCGGUUGCGUAUGUGUGUGCCUCCAUCUGUGUGCGCUGGGCCUCCCUCGCCUGCAUCUGGAGUAGCAUUGAAGAGGCUUUCCAACAAGGCUGAUGGUGACCAGCCUGCCAAGCAGCCCAGAUGUUAGUUCUGUAAGCCUCGGGCUAAAUGGAGAGCGCCACACUCUCAUUAUUCACAACCAGUAAACUGCAACUGCUGCUUUCCAGUGUAGGAGAGCACGAGCGUCAACAGGGAGGAGGAGAGGGAGGACAGAGCGAGCGAGAUAAAUCAUUUCAUCACUCCUACAAGGCGGUGACACAAGGACCCCUCUGUGCGCUUGCUAAGUAAGGAGGGAUGUGCACAGACUGAGACUAGGUGGUGCUAGAGCACCUGACCUUUUUCCCUAAGCCCAUUUCAUUCGUAUGCAUAAGUGCUGUCAAUGUUUUAUGUUGCUCUUUUCAAAAAUGGAGCGACUAAUUUAAAGUAAAGAUCCACCUCUGGUUGUUACAUUCUUCAUUUUUUACUCCCAUUUGUCCCAUUGAGCCCGAUUUCUCAAGAAGCAUUUCAACAGGGCCGCUCAGCGAAUAGAGGAAGUUGUGAAUUGAUUUUCUGCAUUGUUUUAGAAUUGUAGUCUGCCUGUAGUUGUAAUUUGGCAAUGGCAGUGAAGGUAGUGAAUGAAGCCGUUCAGUUUGUGUAGGCUACACUUCCAAAAAUUGAACAAUUAAAGUCGAGGGAAGAGAAA